GCAUUUGAGAGAAACACUUCUGUCAUUCCAUCGAUUCAAGAACAUCAGCUGGCCUCGAGGGUUUCGAGAGAAGUGGUUCUCCAUUACUCCUGUUUAAGUCCUCAGCUUCCAUCACUGAGGCUGGUACAUGGAAUAUGCUAUAAAAAUCUUUUCAAUAAAUGAGUGAAAGAAUUCACUAGGCGCAAUGCCUUGUGGGAGUGAGGCAUACAAGUGCUGGGAGCAGUAGUGCAUACCCAUUGGGAAAGGUGAUAAGAUGAAACUUAACAAGUAGUAGGU
rnacentral:lncRNA from 1 species